UGCAGUCGAGGGGAACGGCAUUAUGUGCUUGCACAUUUUGGACGUCGACCGGCGCACGGGUGAGUAUCGCGUAUCCAACCUGCCCUUUACUUGGGGAUACCCCGUUGAAAGACGGCCUAAUACCCGAUGUAAUUCAUUGAUGGCAUCAGAUAUGAAUAAAAGAUUUAUCGGUAAAGGAUGGGGAUGCGUCUGAUUAGCUUGUUGGUGAGGUAAUGGCUCACCAAGGCGACGAUCAGUAGGGGUUCUGAGAGGAAGGUCCCCCACAUUGGAACUGAGACACGGUCCAAACUCCUACGGGAGGCAGCAGUGAGGAAUAUUGGUCAAUGGGCGCAAGCCUGAACCAGCCAAGUAGCGUGCAGGAAGACGGCCCUAUGGGUUGUAAACUGCUUUUAUACGAGAAUAAUUUGAUGCACGUGUGCGUUAUUGCAUGUAUCGUAUGAAUAAGGACCGGCUAAUUCCGUGCCAGCAGCCGCGGUAAUACGGAAGGUCCAGGCGUUAUCCGGAUUUAUUGGGUUUAAAGGGAGUGUAGGCGGUUUGUUAAGCGUGUUGUGAAAUUUAGAUGCUCAACAUUUAACUUGCAGCGCGAACUGUCAGACUUGAGUACACGCAACGUAUGCGGAAUUCAUGGUGUAGCGGUGAAAUGCUUAGAUAUCAUGAAGAACUCCGAUUGCGAAGGCAGCAUACGGGAGUGUAACUGACGCUUAAGCUCGAAGGUGCGGGUAUCGAACAGGAUUAGAU
rnacentral:rRNA from 1 species